rnacentral:rRNA from 1 species
UACGUAGGGUGCAAGCGUUGUCCGGAAUUAUUGGGCGUAAAGAGCUCGUAGGCGGUUCGUCGCGUCGGCUGUGAAAACCCGGAGCUCAACUCCGGGCCUGCAGUCGAUACGGGCGGACUUGAGUGUUGCAGGGGAGACUGGAAUUCCUGGUGUAGCGGUGAAAUGCGCAGAUAUCAGGAGGAACACCGGUGGCGAAGGCGGGUCUCUGGGCAACUACUGACGCUGAGGAGCAAAAGCGUGGGGAGCGAACAGG